rnacentral:rRNA from 1 species
GACGUAGGGCGCGAGCGUUGUCCGGAUUUAUUGGGCGUAAAGAGCUCGUAGGCGCUGUCGCGUCGUUCGUGAAAACCUGCAGCCUCAACUGCAGGCUUGCGGUCGAUACGGGCAGGCGUAGAGUUCGGUAGGGGAGACUGGAAUUCCUGGAUGUAGCGGUGAAAUGACGCAGAUAGUCAGGAGGACACCGGUGGCGAAGGCGGUCUCUGGGCCGGAUGACUGACGCUGGGAGGA